AACGAACGCUGGCGGCAGGCUUAACACAUGCAAGUCGAACGCAUCCUUCGGGGUGAGUGGCAGACGGGUGAGUAACGCGUGGGAACGUACCCUUUGGUUCGGAAUAACUUGGGGAAACUCAAGCUAAUACCGGAUAAGCCCUUAUGGGGAAAGGUUUACUGCCGAAGGAUCGGCCCGCGUCUGAUUAGCUAGUUGGGGAGGUAAUGGCCCACCAAGGCGACGAUCAGUAGCUGGUCUGAGAGGAGAAUCAGCCACACUGGGACUGAGACACGGCCCAGACUCCUACGGGUGGCAGCAGUGGGGAAUAUUGGACAAUGGGGGCAACCCUGAUCCAGCCAUGCCGCGUGAGUGAUGAAGGCCUUAGGGUUGUAAAGCUCUUUUACCCGGGACGAUAAUGACUGUACCGGGAGAAUAAGCCCCGGCUAACUUCGUGCCAGCCGCCGCAGUAA
rnacentral:rRNA from 1 species